rnacentral:rRNA from 1 species
AUUGAACGCUGGCGGCAGGCCUAACACAUGCAAGUCGAACGGUAGCACAGAGAGCUUGCUCUCGGGUGACGAGUGGCGGACGGGUGAGUAACGUCUGGGAAACUGCCCGAUGGAGGGGGAUAACUACUGGAAACGGUAGCUAAUACCGCAUAACGUCGCAAGACCAAAGUGGGGGACCUUCGGGCCUCACACCAUCGGAUGUGCCCAGAUGGGAUUAGCUAGUAGGUGGGGUAAUGGCUCACCUAGGCGACGAUCCCUAGCUGGUCUGAGAGGAUGGCCAGCCACACUGGAACUGAGACGCGGUCCAGACUCCUACGGGAGGCAGCAGUGGGGAAUAUUGCACAAUGGGCGCAAGCCUGAUGCAGCCAUGCCGCGUGUAUGAAGAAGGCGUUCGGGUUGUAAAGUACUUUCAGCGGGGAGGAAGGCGGUGAAGUUAAUAGCUUCACCGAUUGACGUUACCCGCAGAAGAAGCACCGGCUAACUCCGUGCCAGCCGCCGCCGUAAAAC